GAUGAACGCUGGCGGCGUGCCUAAUACAUGCAAGUCGAGCGAACAGACGAGGAGCUUGCUCCUCUGACGUUAGCGGCGGACGGGUGAGUAACACGUGGAUAACCUACCUAUAAGACUGGGAUAACUUCGGGAAACCGGAGCUAAUACCGGAUAAUAUAUUGAACCGCAUGGUUCAAUAGUGAAAGACGGUUUUGCUGUCACUUAUAGAUGGAUCCGCGCCGCAUUAGCUAGUUGGUAAGGUAACGGCUUACCAAGGCAACGAUGCGUAGCCGACCGGAGAGGGUGAUCGGCCACACUGGAACUGAGACACGGUCCAGACUCCUACGGGAGGCAGCAGUAGGGAAUCUUCCGCAAUGGGCGAGAGCUUGACGGAGCAACGCCGCGUGAGUGAUGAAGGUCUUCGGAUCGUAAAACUCUGUUAUUAGGGAAGAACAAAUGUGUAAGUAACUAUGCACGUCUUGACGGUACCUGAUCAGAAAGCCACGGCUAACUACGUG
rnacentral:rRNA from 1 species